rnacentral:tRNA from 1 species
GCCCUCAUAGCUCAGACGGUAGAGCACGUUCUUGGUAAGAACGGGGUCAGGGGUUCAAAUCCCCUUGAGGGCUCUA